AUCCAGUUGACGAGUCCCAAAUAAGACGAAACGCGCUACCUGGAU
rnacentral:hammerhead_ribozyme from 1 species